rnacentral:lncRNA from 1 species
ACAAAUUAGGCCUAAGCCUGAUGUCGAUCUGGGGUCUCGUCUGCUCGAGCCUCCUCACGUCCUGUUCCAAAUAAAUAUUAAUUUCCCAACCAAUAAUCCAAUAUUUAAUCAAAAUAGGCAAAAUUACCCGAGAGCCAUAAUUACGCUCAUUAUUGCCUAACUUCGAUAUUCUUACAUCGGAACGAUCCGAACUUAAAUAUCAUACUCCACAGUCGUAAAUAUAACCUCCCCAAAAUACGACUUAAAUCCUACGGCCGGAUUCUACAUUAAUUAACCGCCAAAAAUACCAAACUUCGGAAAUUCACAAACCUAUCCAAAUCUCAUCCAAAAAUUCCAUAAAUCACACCAAUAUACUCCUCUUAAUAUUCCACAUUUAAAACCAUAAAAAUCUCCUAACCGGCGGCGGCGCCGCCGGCAGCGGCGGCCGGCAGCCGUUUUCCGGCGACCUGCAAAUGCUACCAAAUUUUAACAGAAUCUUCCUCUCAAUCUCCUCUACAACUUUCAUGACUAACACAUCACCCAAUUCCAAGCCUAACUAGGCUAAUCGAACGAAAACAACUUAAACACCAUAAAACUUCCACCUCAAAUUUCUCCUUACCUAGCUCAAGAGGGAGGGAGCUGUUUGGAGGGGUUGUUGCAUGGGAGGAGGGCUACAAAACCGUACCAAGCUUGCCCGGAUUGGUGGCCGGAGGAGGAAGUUCCGGCGAGAAAACCAAUUCGGCAGUCGGAGCUUUCGGGUGGCACCGCUCUCUCACGGCGGAGCUAGGGCUCCUCUCACCGGUCUAGAAAUGUUGCUGGGAGGGAGACCGACCGAACGGGACCGGUCCGGCGGCGAACGGAGGUCGGACGGCGGCGGGAGGACAACCGGAAAACCGGGCAGCGGAAGGCUCGGGGAGAGGAAAAGAAAAGAGGGAAGAAGAGAAAGGGAGGAGGAAAAAGAAAAUGGGUUGGGCCUCCACCGGUCCAACCUAUAUCAACCCACUUCCAAAAAAUAAAAACACCCCGAAAAAAUAAUACCCGAAUAAAAAUUACCUUUUACUAGCUAAAAUUUACCAUUUUUACCGUCGUCGUAUUUUCCUCAUACUAAUAAUCCUCCGCACAUAAUCGUCCCCGAAACCCCUCUAGGGACCAAUUAAACUAUUUACUUAAUGAUCGAGACGGUAAAAUUCUUAUUAUAAUCAGGCUAGUAAAUAAGGUAAAAAUAUAAGGGUCGGGAUGUGACAGUUUCAAACUUGGUGCUAUACCAGGAUUUUAAUAACCUAAUAGCAGUGGAACUUGAUGUCAUACGCAAAUAGGUUCUUGAGGGUAAUUUAUAGAUUCUUUUAAUUGGUUGAUUCCUUUUAGAACACAAUAUGAAAAUAUGUUCCUAAUGUUGCUUUGUUAAACUCAUAAGGUUUGAUAGUGGAUACUCAUAGAUAUAAGAUUCAUUUCAAACAUUGUUCAAGAUAUCUUCUUACAUUUACUGAACAGACACACACUCUCUCUCUCUCUC